AACAGUAUGACUAUGAAGUUGUUGGCAUUCCUACUUAUUUUGGUGAUAAUCGUGGUCUUGCUGGCAAUGGUUCAGGCAGGGCCUCAACUUGGAUUCGCGGGUGGACCGAUAGACUGCUGCUGUUGGAAUGGAUUGAGAUGCACGUGUAGAUGUGCUAGAUAAUGUGAAAAACUAAUCAAUUAUCAUUUAACCCAGACGCCAGGACUACAGUUUUGACAAAAGUGUAUACUUUCAGUGUUUUCGGAAACAUUUAGUUAUUUCCAAUGUAUACUAACGAGCGUGCAUUUUUUUUGUGUGUCACAGUCUAAAACAAAUGUCAGUUUUACGAAAUGUUUUAUUUGUAGUUCAUAAAAUGUUAAUUGCUCUGAAUUAAAAAAAGAAAGGUCUUCUUAUGUAAAACAGUUAUCAGGUUAAACUUUAUUCUUUCGGCAGAAAAGUUCUAAUUGCAGCUUUUAUUAAAUCAUAGUAUUGAAUAACA